rnacentral:rRNA from 1 species
UGCCAGCCGCCGCGGUAAUACGUAGGUCCCAAGCGUUAUCCGGAAUUAUUGGGCGUAAAGGGUCCGUAGACGGUUUAUUAAGUCUGAUGUGAAAGCCACCGGCUCAACCGGUGAAACGCAUUAGAUACUGGUAAACUAGAGUAUGUUAGAGGAUAGUGGAAUUCCAUGUGUAGCGGUGAAAUGCGUAGAUAUAUGGAGGAACACCAGUGGCGAAGGCGGCUAUCUGGGACAUUACUGACGUUGAGGGACGAAAGCGUGGGGAGCGAACAGGAUUAGAUA